rnacentral:rRNA from 1 species
AACCUGGUUGAUCCUGCCAGUAGUCAUAUGCUUGUCUUAAAGAUUAAGCCAUGCAUGUCUAAGUAUAAGCAUUUAUACCGCGAGACUGCGAACGGCUCAUUAAAACAGUUAUGGUUUAUUUGAUGGUUCCUUUGCUACUUGGAUAACCGUAGUAAUUCUAGAGCUAAUACAUGCACGAAGGGACGACUCACGAAGUCCUGUAUUUAUUAGAUUAAAGCCAACCACCUCCGGGUGUUCGUGGUGAAUCAUAGUAACUUCUCGGAUCGCCGGCUCUACGCCAGCGACGUGUCAUUCAAAUUUCUGCCCUAUCAGCUUUAGAUGGUAGGAUAUGGGCCUACCAUGGCGGUGACGGGUAACGGAGAAUUAGGGUUCGAUUCCGGAGAGGGAGCCUGAGAAACGGCUACCACUUCUAAGGAAGGCAGCAGGCGCGCAAAUUACCCAAUCCUGACUCAGGGAGGUAGUGACAAGAAAUAACAAUAAACCGGCUUAUGCCGGUUUAAUUGGAAUGGGUACAAUUUAAACAUCUUAACGAGGAACAAUUGGAGGGCAAGUCUGGUGCCAGCAGCCGCGGUAAUUCCAGCUCCAAUAGCGUAUACUAAAGUUGUUGCGGUUAAAAAGCUCGUAGUUGGAUUUCUGUCGAGGGCGGCCGGUCCGCACUAUGUGCGUGUAUCUGGUUCGGUCUUGGCAUCCUCUUGGGGAUCGUUCGUGUGCUUGAUUGCAUGCGACGGAAUUCAAGACUUUUACUUUGAGGAAAUUAGAGUGUUCACGGCAAGCUAUCGCUUUGAAUACAUUAGCAUGGAAUAAUGAUAAAGGACUUCGGUUCUAUUUUGUUGGUGUUCGGGACUGAAGUAAUGAUUGAUAGGGACAGUUGGGGCGGUCCGUAUUCCAAAGCGAGAGGUGAAAUUCUUAGACCUUCGGAAGACGAACAGCUGCGAAAGCGUUCCGCAAGGAUGUUCCCUUUGAUCAAGAACGAAAGUUGGGGGAUCGAAGACGAUCAGAUACCGUCGUAGUCUCAACUAUAAACUAUACCAGCUAGGGAUCGGCCAACGUUACUUUAUCCGACUUGGUCGGCACCUUAUGAGAAAUCAAAGCAUCUGGGUUCCGGGGGGAGUAUGGUCGCAAGGCUGAAACUUAAAGGAAUUGACGGGAGGGCACCACCAGGAGUGGAGCCUGUGGCUUAAUUUGAUUCAACACGGGAAAACUUACCAGGUCCGGACAUAGUAAGGAUUGACAGAUUGAAGCUCUUUCUUGAUUCUAUGGGUGGUGGUGCAUGGCCGUUCUUAGUUGGUGGAGUGAUUUGUCUGGUUAAUUCCGUUAACGAACGAGACCUCAGCCUGCUAAAUAGUUAGCUCGAUCAUUGAUCGUGUUACACUUCUUAGAGGGACUACUUUGGGUUUACCAAGAGGAAGCAUGAGGCAAUAACAGGCCUGUGAUGCCCUUAGAUGUUCUGGGCCGCACACGGGCUACACUGGUGGCAUCAACAAGCAUGUAUCCUAGACCGACAGGUCUGGGUAAUCUUUUAAAUGUCACCGUGCUUGGGAUAGAAGGUUGCAAUUGUCCUUCUUCAACGAGGAAUUCCUAGUAAACGUAAGUCAUCAGCUUACAUUGAUUACGUCCCUGCCCUUUGUACACACCGCCCGUCGCUCCUACCGAUUGGAUGAUUCGGUAAGCACUCAGGACCGGAAUUGUCUUACUUCUUGUUCGAUAAUAUACGGGAAUGUGUUCAAACCUAAUCAUCUAGAGGAAGGAGAAGUCGUAACAAGGUUUCCGUAGGUGAACCUGCAGAAGGAUC